GACGAACCGCACAAACGUUAUUCGGAAUUACUGGGCUUAAAGGGUGCGUAGGCGGCGCGGAAAGUAGGGUGUGAAAUCCCUCGGCUCAACCGAGGAAUUGCGCCCUAAACUACCGUGCUCGAGGGAGAUAGAGGUGAGCGGAACUUAGGGUGGAGCGGUGAAAUGCGUUGAUAUCCUAAGGAACACCGGUGGCGAAAGCGGCUCACUGGAUCUCUUCUGACGCUGAGGCACGAAAGCUAGGGUAGCGAACGGG
rnacentral:rRNA from 1 species